rnacentral:rRNA from 1 species
GACAGAGGUGCCAAGCGUUAGGCGGAAUCACUGGGCUUAAAGCGUGUGUAGGCGGAUUUGUAAGUACCUUGUGAAAUCCCACGGCUUAACCGUGGAACUGCUCGGUAUACUGCGAAUCUUGGGCCAUCUAGGGGCGAGCGGAACAAGUGGUGGAGCGGUGAAAUGCGUAGAUAUCAUUUGGAACGCCAAUGGUGAAAACAGGUAGCUGGGGUUGUGCUGACGCUGAGACACGAAAGCCAGGGGAGCGAACGGG